GCUCAGUAACACGUAGUCAACAUGCCCAAAGGACGUGGAUAACCUCGGGAAACUGAGGAUAAACCGCGAUAGGUCAUAAGUACUGGAAUGUUUUAUGGCUGAAAUCUACGUGGCCUCUGGAUUGGACUGCGGCCGAUCAGGCUGUUGGUGAGGUAAUGGCCCACCAAACCUGUUACCGGUACGGGCUCUGAGAGGAGGAGCCCGGAGAUGGGCACUGAGACAAGGGCCCAGGCCCUAUGGGGCGCAGCAGGCGCGAAACCUCUGCAAUAGGCGAAAGCUUGACAGGGUUACUCUGAGUGAUUCCCGCUAAGGGAAUCUUUUGGCAUCUCUAAAAACGAUGCAGAAUAAGGGGUGGGCAAGUCUGGUGUCAGCCGCCGCGGUAAUACCAGCACCCCGAGUGGUCGGGACGAUUAUUGGGCCUAAAGCAUCCGUAGCCGGUCUUGCAAGUCUUCCGUUAAAUCCACCUGCUUAACAGAUGGGCUGCGGAAGAUACUACAAGACUAGGAGGCGGGAGAGGCAAGCGGUACUCAGUGGGUAGGGGUAAAAUCCUCUGAUCCAUUGAAGACCACCAGUGGCGAAGGCGGCUUGCCAGAACGCGCUCGACGGUGAGGGAUGAAAGCUGGGGGAGCAAACCGGAUUAGAUACCCGGGUAGUCCCAGCUGUAAACGAUGCAGACUCGGUGAUGGGCCGGCUUCAUGCCGGCUCAGUGCCGCAGGGAAGCCGUUAAGUCUGCCGCCUGGGGAGUACGGUCGCAAGACUGAAACUUAAAGGAAUUGGCGGGGGAGCAC
rnacentral:rRNA from 1 species